UACAGAGGGUGCAAGCGUUGCUCGGAAUCAUUGGGCGUAAAGGGUUGGUAGGUGGUCUUAUUUGUCAGGGGUGAAAUCCUUGGGCUUAACUCAAGAAGUGCCCUUGAAACGGUGAGACUAGAGUCUUGGAGAGGGUCGCGGAAUACCCGGUGUAGCGGUGAAGUGCGUAGAGAUCGGGUGGAACACCAGAGGCGAAGGCGGCGACCUGGACAAGUACUGACACUCAACAACGAAAGCGUGGGGAGCAAACAGG
rnacentral:rRNA from 1 species